rnacentral:rRNA from 1 species
ACGGGUGAGUAAUGUCUGGGAAACUGCCUGAUGGAGGGGGAUAACUACUGGAAACGGUAGCUAAUACCGCAUAACGUCGCAAGACCAAAGAGGGGGACCUUCGGGCCUCUUGCCAUCAGAUGUGCCCAGAUGGGAUUAGCUAGUAGGUGGGGUAACGGCUCACCUAGGCGACGAUCCCUAGCUGGUCUGAGAGGAUGACCAGCCACACUGGAACUGAGACACGGUCCUGACUCCUACGGGAGGCAGCAGUGGGGAAUAUUGCACAAUGGGCGCAAGCCUGAUGCAGCCAUGCCGCGUGUAUGAAGAAGGCCUUCGGGUUGUAAAGUACUUUCAGCGGGGAGGAAGGUGUUGCGGUUAAUAACCGCAGCAAUUGACGUUACCCGCAGAAGAAGCACCGGUUAACUCCGUGCCAGCAGCCGCGGUAAUACGGAGGGUGCAAGCGUUAAUCGGAAUUACUGGGCGUAAAGCGCACGCAGGCGGUCUGUCAAGUCGGAUGUGAAAUCCCCGGGCUCAACCUGGGAACUGCAUUCGAAACUGGCAGGCUAGAGUCUUGUAGAGGGGGGUAGAAUUCCAGGUGUAGC